rnacentral:tRNA from 1 species
GAGCAUCUGCCUUACAAGCAGAGGGUCAGCGGUUCGAUCCCGUUAACUCCCA